rnacentral:rRNA from 1 species
GAAUCAAUAUGUUGGUCGUGCCUUGGUAUGUACUAAUUUAUUGGUUUCUUCCUUCUGACGAACCAUAAUGUCAUAAAUUUGGUGUCUUGGGAAUCAGGACUGUUACUUUGAAAAAUUAGAGUGUUUAAAGCAGGCUCACGCUUGAAUACAUUAGCAUGGAAUAAUGAAAUAGGACGUUUGAUUCUAUUUUGUUGGUUUCUAGGAUUGACGUAAUGAUUAAUAGGGAUAGUUGGGC